GUCACUGUGGGAACUGCCUUGUGGGGACAAGGGAUGUGGCCCCUCCUCUGCUCAUGUUCAUGAGGACCCCGCCCUCGUGAACCUCCCAUUCCUGUCCUGACCCUGCCAUGGGCACCCGGCUCCUCUGCUGGGUGACCCUGUGUCUCCUGGGGACAGAACUCACAGAAGGUGGCGUCAUCCAGUCCCCCAGACAGAAGAUCAUGGGGAAAGGACAGGCUGUGGCUUUGUGGUAUGAUCCUGUUUCUAAUCACCAAACCCUUUACUGGUACCAGCAGACCCUGGAACAGGGCCUGAAGCUUCUGAUUCGCUUUGAGAAUGAAGCUGCUAUAGAUGAUGCACAGUUGCCUAAGAAUCGAUUUUCUGCUGAGAGGUCCAACGGGGCAGACUCCACUCUCAAGAUCCAGCGUGCAGAGCUAGGCGACUCGGCCGUGUAUUUCUGUGCCAGCAGCUUAGCCACAGCGUCACAGGGACACUUCCUUUCUGUGCAAAAAACCUUAGGGUUCUCCUCUCUAUUUGGCUCACAGCAGCUCUGAACACAGGCCAGGCCUUAUUCCUCAUGCAAGGGGAAGAGGUGUUUCUGCAGAGAUAAGCUAUGAUUCCUAUGAAGGAAGGACGUGAAUUAUUUUCUGAAAUGUCAGAGCUAAAAAUGUUUAAAAUAAUUGUGACUCGGGGAUUUGAAGCACUUCUUGGUGACAGCUCAAGGAUGUAAAACUGAAAGUGACUUAUCACAGGCUCAGCCCUCAGGGGCU